rnacentral:rRNA from 1 species
GCAGGCUUAAUACAUGCAAGUCGAACGGGCGUAGCAAUACGUCAGUGGCAGACGGGUGAGUAACGCGUGGGAACGUACCCCUCGGUUCGGAAUAACUCAGGGAAACUUGAGCUAAUACCGGAUACGGCUGAGAGGCGAAAGAUUUAUCGCCGAGGGAUCGGCCCGCGUCCGAUUAGCUAGUUGGUGAGGUAAUGGCUCACCAAGGCGACGAUCGGUAGCUGGUCUGAGAGGAUGAUCAGCCACAUUGGGACUGAGACACGGCCCAAACUCCUACGGGAGGCAGCAGUAGGGAAUAUUGGACAAUGGGCGAAAGCCUGAUCCAGCCAUGCCGCGUGAGUGAUGAAGGCCUUAGGGUUGUAAAGCUCUUUCGUCAGGGACGAUAAUGACGGUACCUGAAGAAGAAGCCCCGGCUAACUUCGUGCCAGCAGCCGCGGUAAUACGAAGGGGGCUAGCGUUGUUCGGAAUCACUGGGCGUAAAGCGCAUGUAGGCGGGUCUUUAAGUCAGGGGUGAAAUGCCAAGGCUCAACCUUGGAACUGCCUUUGAUACUGGAGACCUUGAGUCCGGGAGAGGUGAGUGGAACUGCGAGUGUAGAGGUGAAAUUCGUAGA